CAGAAUUUCUGGAGAGUUUCUGACGAGUUGAGUUGCUGAUCAAAAGAUGAUUUUGCUGGUUUGGAGGCUCUCUUUUUAUAGCUGCAGAAUUUCAUCCAUCUAGGGUUUCAAAAUCCCUUUUUGAUUUGGUGUUUGACUCCUCUUAUGAUGUUGAAUUUAAUUGCAAUUGGAAUUCCUUGGAUGAGAAACUCUUUCGUGGCUCUUGGUUUUAUGUUGGUAGUGAUUGGGUUGGAUUUGGACUUCUGAAAAUUCGGAUUUCUGUUUUCUGCCCAAUUUCCCGCUCUUCUGUCAGUUUCUGCUGUCAAAGUGAUUUGCCUGGUGAUUUGAGUGUUUUGGGCAAAUCACUGACUCAAUCACUUUUCUGUGAGUUAGUCCUCUCUGCCUCUGCGAGUGAUUUGCCCAGUUUCUUCGAGUGUCUUGGGCAAAUCACUGCCCAUAUCACUUCUGCCUGUUGCCUCCAGUUUUCUGCUUCAGCUUGAUCUGGGCAGAUCACUGGGCAAAUCACUGACCCAAUCACUUUUCUGUCAAUUUUCUGCACUUUUUCUCCAAUUUUCCAAAUUCUUCCUUUUCUGUAAAAACAAGAUAAAAACCAUAAAUUAACCAAAAAGAAUGUGUAAAUAAACAAUAAUAAUUAUGAUAAAAAUGUGGCUAAAUUGUGCUUGAUCAGCAAGCAUGCAAAAGACUACUACGUUAUCUUAAUGGUACAGCCACUCAAGGUCUUUUGCUUCGUCCUUCAUCAACAUUCUCACUACAAUGUUAUUCAGAUAGUGACUGGGCUGGUUAUCCCGAUGAUCGACGGUCAACCGGAGGCUAUCUAGUUUAUUUUGGUGGUAAUUUAAUCUCCUGGUCUAGUAAGAAGCAGCCAACGGUAGCACGAUCAAGUACAGAAAGUGAAUAUAAAGCUAUUGCGAAUGCCACUGCU
rnacentral:lncRNA from 1 species